rnacentral:rRNA from 1 species
AACGAACGCUGGCGGCAGGCCUAACACAUGCAAGUCGAGCGGACCCUUCGGGGUUAGCGGCGGACGGGUGAGUAACGCGUGGGAAUAUGCCCUUCUCUACGGAAUAGUCCUGGGAAACUGGGGGUAAUACCGUAUACGCCCUUUGGGGGAAAGAUUUAUCGGGGAAGGAUUAGCCCGCGUUGGAUUAGGUAGUUGGUGGGGUAAUGGCCUACCAAGCCGACGAUCCAUAGCUGGUUUGAGAGGAUGAUCAGCCACACUGGGACUGAGACACGGCCCAGACUCCUACGGGAGGCAGCAGUGGGGAAUCUUAGACAAUGGGGGCAACCCUGAUCUAGCCAUGCCGCGUGAGUGAUGAAGGCCUUAGGGUUGUAAAGCUCUUUCAGCUGGGAAGAUAAUGACGGUACCAGCAGAAGAAGCCCCGGCUAACUCCGUG